AUGUUACUGAUUACCGUAAAAUUGACUCUGCUAGAGACUCUGUUAAUCAUUUUUUAUCUUAAUGGCAAGCUUUGUUGCUGCCCAGUCUUUUGAAAGAUAUUUGAAAAUUCAGGAUACAUGUUUACAGAAAAGACAAACUUGACUUCAUUAUCUAGAGCCAGAACACAUAGUAUCUGUAUAUCCACGGUGAUUGGGAGUAAUGCCAAGAUUUGAAAUAAUACCUCAGACAGUUCAGCUUCAGAGACAGAAUAGCUUUUGAAAAAUCUAAAAUCUACCUUAGGAAGGUACAUUUCUCUAAGCAAAGUGAGUAUGUAAACAAAAUGUUUUAUUAUCAGGGAUUUCUCCCUUUCCCCUUCAAUGUUCCCUUUCUCUUUCACCAGGCUCCCAGGCUCUUGACACUCCUGGUUCCUCCCAGUCCCCUUGUGAUUCCUUUAAUAUCUAUGCCUAUUUCUGAGAUAUCCCUUCCUCACUCUGCCCCCUGCAUACCCGUCAGUUCCCUUGUAAUGUCCCUUUCCCUGAAAGCCUCGUUAUUUACUUACAUUUAAAAUAUAGAUUAUAUUAAGCUUAUACCCUAACCAUUCCACAUGAGAUCUACACUGUAAUUGAGGCUUCUAAAAAGUGAUGUGGUAUGGAGGACCAUGAUCAGAUCAGUGCAGGCCUUUGAGAGAUGGGGGAGCUUUGGAAAUUACAUCAGUGAAAGGUGUGGACAAAAACCGCCUUUUGUUGUUCCACAUCAUUUUUUAAUCGUAUUUUUUAAAGAAAAAAAUGAAAAGAUUCCCUCAAGUAAGUAUAUUAUUCUGGUUUCCUCAGACCAUCUCACUAACGUGUUUCAUUAAGUAUUCCAGUAU
rnacentral:lncRNA from 1 species